rnacentral:tRNA from 1 species
AGCAGAGUGGCGCAGUGGAUGCGUGUUGGGCCAAUAACCCAGAGAUUCGUGGAUCGAACCCAUGCUCGGCCA